CACCUGUUCCCAUGCCGAACACAGCAGUUAAGCUCUCCAGCGCCGAUGGUAGUUGGACUGACGUCCCGUGAGAGUAGGACGCCGCCGGGC
rnacentral:rRNA from 1 species